GACAGAGGGUGCAAACGUUGUUCGGAAUUACUGGGCGUAAAGCGAGUGUAGGCGGUUUGGUAAGUCGGAUGUGAAAGCCCCGGGCUCAACCCGGGAAGUGCACUCGAUACUGCCAAGCUAGAGUAUCGGAGAGGUUGGUGGAAUUCUCGGUGUAGAGGUGAAAUUCGUAGAUAUUCGGAGGAACACCAGCGGCGAAGGCGGCAUCCUGGACUGGUCCUGACACUCAGGAGCGAAAGCGUGGGGAGCGAUCCGG
rnacentral:rRNA from 1 species